AAUCUGAAGAGAUUGUAUUGCAGAUUUUAAGUUUGUUGUUUAAGUAUUCGUGAUACACACAGUGAGACGGUUAAUAAUGACUCUAAAUCAAAAACGUAUAUCUUAAAUGGUGUCAAAAUUAAUUUCAAGUCCAGGUUAGAAACAAACGCAGUGAGUCUGGAAAGCUUUUAACAGGUAAUCAAAGCACGAAGAGUUAGAAGAAGACGGACAGCGAUGGAUUCUGCCUGAGCGCUUACGACAGGAGAGCCAGAGAAGUCGGAGGCAGCUGACCGAAAACCGUCAGACCAACUAGAGGCGGCGUCUGCUUGGAGGAAACCAGGGCCGUUAAAAAAGGAGGAAGUUUUCUUUCUUUUCUUUUUUUUUUUUUUUUCCUUUUACUGCGCACAUAAAUCCGAGGUGACGUUUCUCCUUGAAUCUGCACAUGCUUCUCUGUCCGGCUUGAUUUACCUCCCGGCGCACACGGCUCCGGCCCGCUGCCGGGGGGGGCAGCCAGCGCCGGCCGCUGUUAUUUUAGGCCUGCUAACUCCCAGAGCAAGGCGGCUCGUUAGUGCGCCUCGCUAAUCUGACUGCGAUCAUUCAUGCUGCGGUGGGACCAAAACACAAUAAAUGAGCUGUGUCCUCCUGGCAGGCCGUAAAGCCGCCUCACCAGGACACCAGCAGAAAGACACCUCCGCCAGUUACCGCCGGGCCCAGCUUGGAUCUAUAUUGGGAUUCCUUCCCGCCACGCUCUGCUCUUGGAUCAGCCGUCAAUCAGAACGCCGUGGGAGGAGCUGCGGUGUCUUUUUACCCCGCUCAGUAGACGUCGCACAAAUUGUUACCCCCCUCCAACCCAAA